UUAAUAAGAAAUUCAGCAAGCAACUACUCGACUGAUGAGAGAGAUGUUGACAAUUUUUGCUGCAGUGAGGUGCAUUCUCGAUCAUGUUAAUAAUCUGUAUCUAAAUUAUUCAGAUGUGAAACUCAUCCUUCUUAAAACAUCUGCAACACAUAUGUGCACUCCGAAAUGGUAAAAUAUUUGCAUUCUAUAGGCCUUCAAGUUUGUGUAGCAUCCCCAUAUUUACCUGGUUAGUGUAUAUGUUGGUAUGCAUUUUGCCUGCACAAGAUUGGAAAUGGUGAUAGAUUUGCACAAGACUACUUGCCACUUCUUAUAGGAUUGGUGAAAGAAGAUGAGUAAUUGCUGAAAUUUGAUGUUCUGUGUACAGAAUCAAGACAUGCCACUGUAGAUGUUUUUUUAAAGGCAGCUAGCUACUUGGAUUGCGCAAAUCAACAAGAACUCCCUCAUAUAGCAUCAGAACUAAGGUUAUUCUUAAUUAAGUAGCUCACAAGAUCACUUUAAGAUUUUUUUUUCACAUGAAAAUAAUAACCUUGAAGUUCAAAUCUUCUAUUGAAACUCCUUUCCUAUGUAUGAACCUCAGGAGACAACUUCCAGUAGACCUGGCCAAUGGAAAUCUCAAUUCUCUUAGCCUGUAAGCUCAGCUCUCAAUCAGGUAUUCUAUUCGUAACUCAGCGUAUUUUUUCUGAAGUUUUAGGCCUAACUCCCAAACAUCUUUUGUCAAGAGUAAGAAUGUAGCUGUUGAUGGUUGCUUGCUGAAGAAGAGUGGUAUCAAUAUUACCAUAGAAGUAGAUGUUUUUCGAAUUAUUCUUGAUUUUCUAUUGUGUUAAUAUCUCUCUGCUCUGUUUUUAAUUGGGAAUCCUUGCUCCUUGGGUCCCUGUAAAUUGUACAAAAGGUAAUUUAUCUGAAUUUUAUGGUCUUUUAGUUUGUUCUGAGCCUCUGAGUUUCCUCAGUUCUUCUGUACCUUUUCUUUGUUGGUUUACAUUUAUUGGAUGUUCCAAUGUUAUUCUAUGUUCAUAUGUGCAAUCGGAUUUACAAAACAACAAGCAAAGCAAUUUAUGAACGUUGCAUUUUCUAUUUUAUCAACGUUGCAUUUU
rnacentral:lncRNA from 1 species